rnacentral:rRNA from 1 species
UACGAAGGGGGCUAGCGUUGCUCGGAAUCACUGGGCGUAAAGGGCGCGUAGGCGGCCAUUCAAGUCGGAGGUGAAAGCCCAGGGCUCAACCCUGGAAUUGCCUUCGAUACUGUUUGGCUAGAGACCGGAAGAGGUAAGUGGAACUGCGAGUGUAGAGGUGAAAUUCGUAGAUAUUCGCAAGAACACCAGUGGCGAAGGCGGACUUACUGGUCCGGUUCUGACGCUGAGGCGCGAAAAGCGUGGGGAGCAAACAGG